AGAGUUUGAUCAUGGCUCAGGAUGAACGCUAGCGGCAGGCCUAACACAUGCAAGUCGAGGGGCAGCAGGGGUAGCAAUACCCGCUGGCGACCGGCGCACGGGUGCGUAACGCGUAUGCAACCUGCCCUGCACCGGGGGAUAGCCCGCCGAAAGGCGGAUUAAUACCCCAUGUACCCGGGGUUCCGCAUGGGAAUCCGGGUAAAGUUUAGGCGGUGCGGGAUGGGCAUGCGUGCCAUUAGCUGGCUGGUGGGGUAACGGCCCACCAGGGCGACGAUGGCUAGGGGGUCUGAGAGGAUGGUCCCCCACACUGGUACUGAGACACGGACCAGACUCCUACGGGAGGCAGCAGUGAGGGGUAUUGGUCAAUGGGCGGAAGCCUGAACCAGCCAUGCCGCGUGCGGGAGGAAGGCCCUACGGGUUGUAAACCGCUUUUCCGGGGGAAGAAUAGGCCCGACGUGUCGGGCGAUGCCGGUACCCCGGGAAUAAGGAUCGGCUAACUCCGUGCCAGCAGCCGCGGUAAUACGGAGGAUCCGAGCGUUAUCCGGAUUUACUGGGUUUAAAGGGUGCGUAGGCGGCCCGGGCAAGUCAGCGGUGAAAUGGGGCGGCUCAACCGUUCCGCUGCCGUUGAUACUGCGGGGCUUGGAUACGGUCGGGGCGGGUGGAAUUCGUGGUGUAGCGGUGAAUGCAUAGAUAUCACGAGGAACGCCGGUAGCGAAGGCAGCUCGCCGGGCCGAGAUCGACGCUGAGGCACGAAAGCGUGGGGAUCAAACAGGAUUAGAUACCCUGGUAGUCCACGCCGUAAACGAUGAUGGCUGGGUUUUCGCCCGUAAGGGCGAGGGCCUGAGGGAAACCAUUAAGCCAUCCACCUGGGGAGUACGGCCGCAAGGCUGAAACUCAAUGAAUUGACGG
rnacentral:rRNA from 1 species